UAUAUCUACUUUUGGUUCUGUUGUAGCUUUCGACCUUUUCAAUCUUUGGGAAGUCAACUUACCAUGUUGGCGGGACAAUUACAUUCACAAAAUGAUGAUUACUUGGUUUGAACUUUAGGCCAAUCCACUUACCAUGUCGGCGGGACAAUUACAUUUAGUCAUGUGAUUAGCUAGAUGUCCAUUAGCUUGCCAUUAAUUUUGACUUAUAGCCUACCCAAUGAGUAGAUUGGCUCAAUUUCUAUAACAAGUUUCAUGGUAUGUGACUCACCUUUUGCAUGUAUUGAAUAUUUUGCAAAUGCAACUCUGGUGGGAAAAAAUGCAGAAUGUGAAAGUUCAUAUACAGUUGCUGUAUGUGAUGAUUUUGCGAACGCAACUCUGCCCUCCAAUCAUGUGCAAGGCAUGUGCUACCCUCCAAACAUCUGGAUGGUCUUAAUUGACAUACAUGAAUGCUAAAUGCACCAUUUAAGAAACAGUGGAUAGCAUAUGUACAACUAUGCUAUUUUGAAGGAUUGCAAAAGUCACAUCCUUUUUUUUUUUUUUUUGAAUGCAAUAGUUGUGAUUUUUUACAUUCACUUGAUUGAAUCUGAAAUGGUUUUUUAUGUUUUAAUUUUAUUAUGAUUUUUAUUUGUUCUUGCAUUAAUGAAUGGAAUGUUGCUUUUCAGAUUCUUUUCAUUGAAUCUGGAUUGUUUUUUUUUUUAAAAAAAAAUUUGUUGAAUUUAUUUAUUUUGGGUUAAAUGAGAGAAUAGCUUGAUCGAUUGGAUAUUUCUUAAAUUCUUCAUUUAGGAAAAGCUAUGUAUCAAGUGCAACCUGCCUGAUGGACCAUGGAUUAUAAUCACCAGACCAAAUUUAACAUGUUAGUCACUUGUAUGCAUAUGCAACUAGAUUGUCAUGUGUACAGUGCGCAUAUAGAUGAACAUAUGGAUAAAAUACAUGCAUGCUUUUUAGUGCUUCCUGGUGAAAGGAUUGAAGGCCUGAUUUCUCCUACAGGGAACCGACAUCUCUACAAGGUGUGUUUUUUUUUUUUCCUCUUUUUCUUUUUCUGCAAAAUCACUUGAAGUUUUAGCAGGCAAGCUUACUUUCCAUUUCUCCUACCAUUUAAUUCUCGAUGAAAAUAUUUGGGGGUGGGAAUAUUUUUUAAUGGGCUGAGUUGAUAAGUUAAACUAUUCUUGGAAAUGAAGGGCAAAUAAUUUAAAAGGUGGGGGAAGCUUGUGAGGUGGGCCACAACAUGGAGGAAGCACAUUUACUACAUGCUCAACAAGGAAUUCCAAUAUCGGAAUAUGGGGCAUUAGAAAAAUCAGCACAAGCCUAUAAAUGGGUUGAACCCCAAUUGGAAACAGUUAAAGUUGAGAGUUAAUUGCUACAGAUUUGCUGUUUCUUUCUUUUACUAAAUAUGCUCGUAUUAUGGUUGUAGUAUAGAUAUUUUUUACUUUAUGAAGAAAUUCAGUGUUGUAGGAUUAGUUUGAAAA